rnacentral:lncRNA from 1 species
GCCACCUCCAUGGCAACAGAUGCUGUCAAAAGCCUCAGGUUCGCUUGGAGGAUGAGGAGUGAAUUGCCAGGAACCAGCAAGCGAGGCUGAAGAACAGAAAUCUGAAGACGGCAGGCAGCUUCAAUACGUGGGAAAAACAGUGAAAAAGCCUAGCGCCACCAGGAUGGAGUAGGCCGUUAACGUAGAUUUGAAAGGGUAGUUCCCAGGUAAUGGAGAGAAGGGGCGAUGGAGAGAGAAGGCUCAUCUUACUCUGAGGCAUCGAGGGACCUGAACCACCUCUUGCGUGGACGAAUGCUCUCCCUGUAGGAGAAAAAGGCAAUUAACGUGUGUGGCGAAGAGCGAGAAGAAACAGCAACCGUGACAGGAAUCGUUAGCUCUGGCUUCUUUUGUGUGGGUACCGCAAGGUCAGAGCUUGAACAAGGGGAAAACCGGCAUAUGUCUUCGCUAACAAGCAUGACAACCAAGUAGCUGAGUCGAUUCAUGUUGCGAUCCAGAGAAACCCUAGUCUUUGACAGGAUCUGGGAAGUGAGGAUUCUGUUUUCCACGACUGCAAACUACCCUUCUUGUUCCCUACCUCUUCUCGAUGUGUGUGCUGCACUGACGUUGAUCUUGGACUGGCGUCCUCUUUGCAUACGUACGCGUUCUCUUCUGCGUCACAUCUCUCAAAAGGAGGCUCUGCACCAUCUCUGUUUCGAACGGAGGCUGUUAGGGAAAAGAGGAAGUCUUUUGGGUCAUCGAAACGAGAGUGGAGUGGGGAAAGCUGAUAUCCGUGUUCUGCUGAAAGACCCACCAACCCUGUCUUCCUCGUUAAAAAUCCAAAAGACAUAGAGGCCAAGGGCCACAGGUCUUCAGUGCACCGUGAGCAGAACUGCUCCACUGUGCUGGACGUCUUGGGGAGAAAAACACUGCGUACGGUG